rnacentral:rRNA from 1 species
AUGAAAGUAGUAUUAUGGAGGCAGGCACAUGAUUGUCUCCCUACAGGCUAUCAACUUCAAGUAAGAUCCAUACCUACAAGCUAUAAUUGUUACUUUUGCAAUAAGGAGGAAACUGUUGAACACUGUUUUCUGCAUUGUCACUAUGUUAAAAAAAUCUGGAAAGAACUUAAAAAGGAUUAUGGAAUUUGCCUGAACCUGAAAAGCUUUACCCAUAUUAGGCAAUGGAUAUUAACAUGGCUAUUUAAUGCUACUGAUUUUCAUGCCAUUGUUUUUGCCGUGGCAAUUUGGCAUAUUUGGGAGAAUAGAAAUGCUCAUCGUAAUGAUGAGGCUUUAAUUCACCCACUUCGUGUUGUGGGAAAGAUCAAAGCCUAUAUUGAGUUCAUCAAUUUGCAUCUUUUCAGUUCGACCAAUUUCAGUAGGCGCGAGGCCUUGAAGUCUAGCCAAAAUUGGUCUCCACCGCCGGAAGGGUCGAUGCUUAUCAACAUGGAUGCAGCAAUCUUUCCUCAGUCUACAAGAGCUGGAUUUGGCGUGGUCAUUCGCGACCAUCGGGGGAUGGUGCAAGCGGCAAGCAGAGGCUACUUUGCUCGAAUCCAAAAUCCUGAAGUUGCAGAAGCCAUGGCACUUCGUCAAGCUUUAGUUCUUGCUGGGGAGAGAGGUAUGCAGAGAGUCAUGGUGGCUUCUGACUGUUUAUCGCUGAUCAACAAAAUCAAAGAACCAAAUUUGGAUAGAUCCCCUAUGGGAGCAAUAGUCCACGAUAUCAAGAACUGGGCUACAAAGUUUAGGUCUUGUAACUUUAUCCAUGUUUAUCGAUCAUGUAAUUUGGCAGCUCACACUCUUGCCAGGUUGGCAGAGUAUGAUGGUAGAUCAUGUUGGUUUAAUGAGACUCCUGAUGUUAUCAGAACCAUUAUCUGUAAUGAACAAGCUUAUGUAUAA